GCUGUGGUGGUUCAGUGGUAGAAUUCUUGCCUUUCAUGCAAGAGAUCUGGGUUCCCUUUCCAGCCGAUGCU
rnacentral:tRNA from 1 species